GAGAGAUGUCUGAGCGGUUGAAAGAGCCGGUCUUGAAAACCGGUGACGUGUGAGCGUCCGUGGGUUCGAAUCCCACUCUCUCC
rnacentral:tRNA from 1 species